rnacentral:rRNA from 1 species
UACGUAGGUGGCAAGCGUUGUCCGGAUUUACUGGGCGUAAAGAGCGUGUAGGCGGCCCGAUAAGUCCGCUGUGAAAGUCCAGGGCUCAACCCUGGGAUGCCGGUGGAUACUGUCGGGCUCGAGUCCGGAAGAGGAGUGUGGAAUUCCUGGUGUAGCGGUGAAAUGCGCAGAUAUCAGGAGGAACACCGGUGGCGAAGGCGGAUCUCUGGGCCUUACCUGACGCUGAGGCGCGAAAGCUAGGGGAGCAAACAGG